CCCGCCUUGUGAGAUGUGACUUUGUUCCUCAUUUGCCUUCUGCCACGAUUGUGCGACCUCCCCAGCCGUGCGGAACUGUGAGUCCAUUAAACCUCUUUCCUUUGUAAAUUCCCCAGUCUCGGGUAUGUGUUUAUUAGCAGUGUGAGAACAGACUAAUACAGUAAAUUGGUACCAGGUAGUGAGGUGUUACAGUAAAGAUACUCAAAAAUUUGGAAGCAACUUUGGAACUGGGUAAUAGGUAGAGGUUGGAAGAGUUUGGAGGUCUCAGAAGAUGACAGGAAAAUAUGGGAAAGUUUGGAACUUCCUAGAGAGUUGGAGGGCUCAGAAGACAGGAAGAUGUGGGAAAGUUUGGAACUUCCUAGAGAGUUGUUGAAUGGCUUUGACCAAAAUGCUGAUAGUGAUAAGGACAAUAAGGUCCAGGCUGUGGUGGUCUCAGAUGCAGAUUAGGAACUUGUUGGGAACUGGAGUAAAGGUCACUCUUGUUACUUUAGCACUAAGAGACUGGCAGCAUUUUGCUCCUGCCCUAGAGAUCUGUGAAACUUCGAACUUGAGAGAGAUGAUUUAAGGUAUCUGUUUGGAAGAAAUUUCUAAGCAGCAAAGCAUUCAAGAGGUGAUUUAAGUGCCGUUAAAAGCAUUCAGUCUUGGCUAGGUUUGGUGGCUCACACCUGUAAUCUCAGCACUUUGGGAGGCCAAAGCUGGCGGAUCAGUUGAGGUCAGGAGUUCCAGACCAGCCUGGCCAACAGAGCAAAAUCCUGUCUCUAUUAAAAAUAUAAAGAUCAGCCAGGUGAAGUGGUGUGCUUGCACCUGUAAUUCCAGCUACUUGGGAGGCUGAGGCACAAGAAUUGCUUGAACCUGGGAGGCAGAGGUUGCAGUGAGCAGAGAUUGUGCCACUCCAGCCUGGGUGAGACUCAGUCUCGGAAAAAAAAAAAAAAGUGAGACUUAAAAAAGGUGAGACUCAGUCUCAAAAAAAAAAUUCAGUUUUAUGUAUUCACAAAGACAUGGUUUGGAAUUGGAACUUCUGUUUAAAAGGGAAGCAGAGCAUAAAAGUUAGGAAAAUUUGCAGCCCGAUGAUGCCACAGAAAAGAAAAACCCAUUUUCUGAGGGGAAAAUUCAACCCACUGCAGAAAUUUGUGUAAGUAACUAGGAGCCAAAUGUUAAUCACUAAGGCAAUGGAGAAAAUGUCUCCAGAACAUGUCAGAGGUCUUCAUGGCAGCCCCUCCCAUCACAAGCCUGGAGGCCUAGGAGGAAAACAUGGUUUCCUGGGCCGGAUUCAGGGCCCCGUUGCUUUGUGUAAUCUGGGGACUUGGUGCCCUGUGUCCCAGCCGUGGCUGAAAGGGGCCAAUGUAGAACUCAGGCCAUUGCUUCAGAGGGUGAAGCCCCAAACCUUGGCAGCUUCAACCUGGUAUUGGGCCUGUGGGUGCACAGGAGUCAAUAAUUGAGGUUUGGGAACCUCUGCCUAGAUUUCAGAGGAUGUAUGGAAAUGCCAGGAUGUCCAGGUAGGGGUGUGCUGCAGAGGCGGUGCCCUCAUGAAGAACCUCUGCUAGUGCAGUGUGGAAGGGAAACGUGGGGUCAGAGUCCCCACACAGAGUCCCCACUAGGGCACCACCUAGUGGAGCUGUGAGAGGAGGGCCACUGUCCUCCAGAUCACAGAAUGGUCGACCUACCAACAGCUUGGACUGUGGGCCUGGAAAAGCCACAGAUACUCAACACCAGCCAAUGAAAGCAGCCAGGAGUGGGGCUGUACCCUGCAAAACCACAGGGUGGAGCUGCCCAAGACCAUAAAGACCCACCUCUUGUAUCAGUGUGACCUGGAUGUGAGACAUGGAGUCAAAGGAGAUCAUUUUGGAGCUUUAAGAUUUAAUGACUGCCUUGCUGGAGUUUGGACUUGCAUGGAGCCUUGAUUUUGGCCAAUUUCUCCCAUUUGGAACAGGUGUAUUUACCAAAUGCCUGUACCCCCAUUGUAUCUAGGAAGUAACUAACUUGCUUUUGGUUUUACAGGCUCAUAGGCAGAAGGGACUUGUCUUGUCUCAGAUAAGACUUUGGACUUGGACUUUUGGGUUAAUGCUAAAAUGAGUUAAGACUUUGGAGGACUGUUGGGAAGGCAUGAUUAGUUUUGAAAUAUGAAGACAUGAGAUUUGGGAGGGGCCAGGGGCAAAAUGAUAUGGUUUGGCUCUGUGUCCCCACCCAAAUCUCACCUUGAACUGUAAUAAUUCCCAUGUGUCAAGGGCGGGACUAGGUGGAGAUAAUUGAAUGAUGGGGAUGGUUUCCCCCAUACUGUUCUCACAGUAGUGAAUAAAUCUCAUGAGAUCUGAUGGUUUUGUAAAUGGGAGUUCCCCUGCACAAGCUCUCUUUCCUGCCACUGUAUAAGAUGUGACUUUGCUCCUCAUUCACCUUCUUCCAUGAUCGUGAGG
rnacentral:lncRNA from 1 species